rnacentral:tRNA from 1 species
CGUACGUUGGGCAGCUGGGCCUGGCCCGGUGUCUCCGGCAUGCCGACGAAGAGCAUCCGGCCCGGGCCCGAGGUGUGCGGCC